rnacentral:lncRNA from 1 species
UUAAGUUUCAUGAAUUUUAUUUUAAAAAUUGGGGGUGUUUGGCUUCAAGUUGUCCUUCCCAAUUAAUAGUAUAGAUGUCUAUGUUUUGGACUACUUUUUUAAUUUACUUUCGUUUUUUUAAUUUCAUUAAAAACCUUUCAUUAUAAUUGUGUUUUUUUACAAAUUUUAAAUGUGUCAUGAUCAUGCAGAAUAAUAUAGGGGAUCAAUCCCUAUAUACAAAAUUAAGGACUAUGAAACCAAACUUAAUGAUAGGAGGCAUACC